UAAGAGUUGGUUUAUAUUAUAGAACGGUUGAUUGUUGAUCAAUAGGAUUUUCUCUUAG
rnacentral:tRNA from 1 species